rnacentral:rRNA from 1 species
UACGAAGGGGGCUAGCGUUGUUCGGAAUUACUGGGCGUAAAGCGCGCGCAGGCGGCUAUCCAAGUCAGUGGUGAAAGCCCGGAGCUCAACUCCGGAACUGCCAUUGAAACUGUUUAGCUUGAGUAUGAGAGAGGUGAGUGGAAUUCCCAGUGUAGAGGUGAAAUUCGUAGAUAUUGGGAAGAACACCAGUGGCGAAGGCGGCCCGCUGGGCAGUGGCUGACGCUGAGGCGCGACAGCGUGGGGAGCAAACAGG